UACGGAGGAUGCGAGCGUUAUCCGGAUUUAUUGGGUUUAAAGGGUGCGUAGGCGGGAUGGCAAGCCGGCGGUCAAAUCGCGGGGCUCAACCCCGCCCAGCCGUCGGAACUGCCGGGCUAGAGUGGGCGAGAAGUGCGCGGAAUGCGUGGUGUAGCGGUGAAAUGCAUAGAUAUCACGCAGAACUCCGAUUGCGAAGGCAGCGCACCGGCGCCCUACUGACGCUCAGGCACGAAAGCGUGGGUAUCGAACAGG
rnacentral:rRNA from 1 species